GACCUGCAAAUAGACCAGUGCAGGCAUUGAACAUCUGGGGCAAGACUAGAGUCUCCCAGCAGAUUAGUCUGCAUAUCAAGAACAACUAGACCUUAUAAAAGUCACAACAGAGCAGAGGGAUGUUUGCCUGUAAAUGUACACUUUCUAGUGUUUUCUCAAAUUAGAGCAUCUGAGGGUAUCUUGAGAGAAAUCAAAUGCACCAAGACAAAAAUGUAUGACCUGAAACUGGUCCUGAGGAAACAUCAGAUGGACCACGUUGAGCAUCACACUGCAGAAUGUAGGGCUGCAUUCUUCCAAACUGUUGGGAUGGUGAAAGUCAGGGAAAGACUGAGGAAUUGCUCCAAACUGGGGCAGACUGCAAAGAUGUGACAAUUAAAUGCAACGUGUAACUCGGGGUUUCUGC
rnacentral:antisense_RNA from 1 species